AGAACGAACGCUGGCGGCAUGCCUAAUACAUGCAAGUCGAACGAACUCUUCGGAGUUAGUGGCGCACGGGUGCGUAACGCGUGGGAAUCUGCCCUUGGGUUCGGAAUAACAGUUGGAAACGACUGCUAAUACCGGAUGAUGACGAAAGUCCAAAGAUUUAUCGCCAGGGAUGAGCCCGCGUAGGAUUAGCUAGUUGGUGAGGUAAAGGCUCACCAAGGCGACGAUCCUUAGCUGGUCUGAGAGGAUGAUCAGCCACACUGGGACUGAGACACGGCCCAGACUCCUACGGGAGGCAGCAGUAGGGAAUAUUGGACAAUGGGACGAAAGCCUGAU
rnacentral:rRNA from 1 species